AAAGACGCGGAAACGACGACUGUUCUCGGGGAAAGUAGACUUUUUCGCGGGAUUCAAUCGAGCGAGACUUUAAAAGGCGGCGAAAAUGAGCGUUUCGAUGGUCGCGUCGUCCGGUGCGCACGCGUUUGCGAACGCGCACAUU
rnacentral:ribozyme from 1 species